UGAGCUUAACUUAGGAAUUGCAUUCGAUACUGGAAAGCUAGAGUAUGGAGAGGAUGGUAGAAUUCCCAGGUGUAGCGGUGAAAUGCGUAGAGAUCUGGAGGAAUACCGAUGGGGAAGGCAGCCAUCUGGCCUAAUACUGACGCUGAGGUACGAAAGCAUGGGGAGCAAACAGGAUUAGAUACCCUGGUAGUCCAUGCCGUAAACGAUGUCUACUAGCCGUUGGGGCCUUUGAGGCUUUAGUGGCGCAGCUAACGCGAUAAGUAGACCGCCUGGGGAGUACGGUCGCAAGACUAAAACUCAAAUGAAUUGACGGGGGCCCGCACAAGCGGUGGAGCAUGUGGUUUAAUUCGAUGCAACGCGAAGAACCUUACCUGGCCUUGACAUACUAAGAACUUUCCAGAGAUGGAUUGGUGCCUUCGGGAACUUAGAUACAGGUGCUGCAUGGCUGUCGUCAGCUCGUGUCGUGAGAUGUUGGGUUAAGUCCCGCAACGAGCGCAACCCUUUUCCUUAUUUGCCAUCGGGUAAUGCCGGGAACUUUAAGGAUACUGCCAGUGACAAACUGGAGGAAGGCGGGGACGACGUCAAGUCAUCAUGGCCCUUACGGCCAGGGCUACACACGUGCUACAAUGGUCGGUACAAAGGGUUGCUACCUCGCGAGAGGAUGCUAAUCUCAAAAAGCCGAUCGUAGUCCGGAUCGCAGUCUGCAACUCGACUGCGUGAAGUCGGAAUCGCUAGUAAUCGCGGAUCAGAAUGCCGCGGUGAAUAC
rnacentral:rRNA from 1 species